UUCACAUUAAAAAAAAAGUCCAAUUCUCGACUUCCUGUAAACAAAAUUCCAUUUAAACAAAAUAAGAAAUUCAAAAAUGAAGCACCUACAAAAAGAUUUGAUUCCAUCCAGCAAUUACAUAUAUAAGUAUAGAUAUAGAUAGAGAGAAAGAAUAAGAGAGUGUAAUGCAAAAACAAUAGAGAGAGAAAUGAGGUCACAAGCAAGACAAUAACUCGACUUAAAUCUGAUCUCUGAACCAAAUUUGAUUAAAAUGGAUAUUUGGAUACUAUCUAUUAAAAAAAAAAUAAGGUGCCCAAAACAAAAGCCCACUACUAAAAAAUAAAGAAGAUAAAUAAAUAAAAAGUGAGGUCACAAGCAAGAUAACAACUCGACUUAAAUCUGAUCUCUAAACCAAAUCUGAUUAAAAUGAGCAUUUGGAUACUAUCUAUUAAAAAAAAAUAGGGGGCCCAAAACAAAAGCCCACUACUAAAAAAUAAAUAAAAAGUGUGUGCAGAGUUUCGAUCGAGCUAAAACCUUUAUUUAUUGGUUGGCUACACUAUUGGAAGAGAGGGAUCUCAUUGUGAAAGACCUAUUAUUCGAUAAUUCAUGGGUAGAGCCAAAGAGUGACUUAGAGUUCCUCUUAACCAUCUCAUUCUCGAAGUAUGGCACUUCACUCUGUCAAAAAGGGGGAACAAGGAUCUAUGUCUCCAAACACCAAUUAAGGGGUACGGACCCUCCAGCUCCAAAAUAAUAGAUAGAAAUACCACAAAUAGAGCUAUUAUGACACCCAUCAAAGCGUACCAACAAUUAAGAAUUGUUUUCCCGUACUUGCUGAGCAGCAGUUGGCACGGAGCAGCAAUCAUCUGGUGACUCAAAAAUGGUUUUUUAUCAUUUUCACUAAAUUUGUUCCCUCCAUAAUCAUGUAAAUACUCUUUAGGCCCAACAACACACUAAUAACUAUAAAUACCUUCUUCUUGUUCAUCACCCAAUAAUUCAAAAAAUCUCCACCAUCCUCACAUCAUUUCUAUGUCCUCUCACCUGCCUCCUUCACCUUCACCGCUUCCCCUCUUCUAGUGCCACGAGUAUAUGCUACGUAAAACAGUUGCAGCAUCAAAUCAAAAUCCACGUGCAAUACAAUAUAGACUAUGGAAGUGUCAGAACAUUAAAUUUGAUCAAAAAAAGCUGUUUUCUAUAUAUCUAAUAAUAGUGGACUUUUUAUUGUAGCAUUAACAAUGCUGAAAUUGCAAAAAGGUGAGCUUGCAAUUUCAGUAUCUUAUGGAGGAGAAGAAGCAUAAAAAUAAGAGUAACUUGCCUUAAAAACUUCGGCACUUUGGCUUCUUGAUCUCCGUGUAUAAUGUUCCAAAUUUAUUACCUCUCUGCUUUUUCCUAACCUCUAAUUGACUAAUUUCUAGUUCAAAUAUUCAAGAUUCACAAAUUCAAUCUCAAAACAAAUAUUCUUUUAAAAAAUAAGAUUAAUUCUUUAAUUCAACAUUAACUCCAAUGAAUCAACACACAGAAGAAUAUAUAAGAUAAAAAUGUCGGGAUUCAGAAGUAACCCAAAAAAUUUCAAAUUUUAUACACUGGCCUUCAAAUCAAAUCGAAGUUUCAAAGCCACUUUUCCAUCUAUAUAUAGUUCACCGUACAAAAAAAAAUGCACACUUUUUGUAACAUUCGCAUAGAAAGUCAGAAAAAUUAGGAUUUCUACUUGCAAUUGGCUGCAACGGAGGCAAGACCAUUGAACCCCUCACGCGAGAGCACCAAAACUUUAAAAUUUUUGAACGACUUGGAGAUCAACUUCAAGCUCUCAUCCGAUUUCGGCCGGAAUUGGAGGUAUGGGUGCUAAUGAGCUUUUGGGUCAGAUUUCAAAGGUAUGGUGUUGUGGAGUAGGACAAUGUCAGAGCUGAUAGUUGCCUGUGAUAUGGGAUUGUGGAGUGAGAUGAUGUCAAAGCUAAUAGUUGCAUUGGAUAUGGGAUUGUGGAGUGGGACAAUGUUAGAGCUGAUAGUUACGUGUGAAAAAAAAAUAAAAUAAAUAAAAAAUAUAGGAGGACGAUAGGAAAUUGCGCUGCGUGUUAUAUAUGUAGGAUAUACUAUUUUUUAUCAUCAUUAUUCAACUUUAAUCUCCAGAAAUAUCCAUUACCACUUCUAUGGAGACGUAUUAUUUCAUGAUUUCAUGGCUUGUGCCUAUUUAUGUUUGUAAAUCUGAUGUCCUUGUUAUUGGUAUACCACGACAGGCACGAAUUUGAUAGCAAGAAUGGUGUUUUCUUUUAUUUCUUGCAGUUUGGGCUCUUUUAGUUUUGUACUUGGGAUAGAGCACAUCAUAUAGUUGACAAAAAGAAGUAAUCUUUUAAAUUCUUCAGGGUUACCGAGUCAUAUCUGUUGAUAUUCCAUGUGUAUGGAAUCACCAAGAGUGGAUUCAUGCAUUUGAGAAGUUUCUGGAUGCUAUUGACGUUCAUCAUAUACAUCUUUAUGGCACAUCUCUUGGAGGCUUCUUAGCUCAACUUUUUGCAUUGCAUCGUCCACGACGAGUUAGGUCCUUGGUACUGUCAAACACAUUUUUGGAGACAAGUAGUGUUUCUGCAGCCAUGCCAUGGGCUCCCCUUUCCCCUUUUUGCAUGGGAUGGAUGAUUUGUUAGCAGCGCAGUUAGGAGGCAUAACCCAGGAAAGAAUUUCCCGCAGAUGAUGUCAUGUAUCUGGCAUGUGUGUACAUGAUGAUAAUCUUUUAGCAU